rnacentral:lncRNA from 1 species
AGCAUAGGUUCCAUUCUUCGCCGCUCGUCUUAGUAAUCUUCUACCGUAAUACAUUACAACAGUUGGUGGCGUGCACCAGUGUAGCCAUGAUCGCAUUGCAUACAAUAGGACGGUCCUUAUCUAUAUUAUUAGCAUUUUGUAUUAAAAAAUUAAAAUAAGAUUUAAAAUAAAAUACCUUUCAAAUUUUUAUAUUAAAGAAUAUUUUUUUCAAAAAUUAAAAAAAAAGAUUGGGGUUGUAUCUUUCAUGCAAGCAAGCUCAUCUUUUUUUAAGUGAAUCCUACGUUGGAUCAUCUAUUCAAUACUUUAAGAUUGCACAGCCAUAGAGUUUGGAGUGCUUUAAGAUCUGUAUAUACAAAGAUCCAAUAAUGAAUUUAUGAAGAUGAAUCUUUAUUUUAUGCAAAAUAUACAAUCCCAGUCUCUGAAAGGAAAAAAAAAGGUUCAUUAUAAUCUUUGUGCCUUUUCUCUUUCUCCAUCACUCGUGCCACCACUCUAUCUAUCAUUGCUACCAUCAAAAUCGCUACCGAGCGACGCCCAUUUCUCAAACAAUUCCUACUUUUCCACAAUAACCAACCGGCAUAGCAGAUUAUGUUUCUAUAUUUAUCCCCCAAUGUAGUAGGGUCAUCUACCAUUUGAACAAAAGCAUCAUUAGAAGAGACAAGAAAAUUUUUGCCAUGGAAGUCUUGCCAACCAAUCUUCUACAAGGGAAAUGGAUCUCAGGCACUAUAGUUGCUCUCCAUACCCAAGUGAAGUCUCCAUUUUCAGUGCUAUGAUAAGUCUUGGCCAGCACUGACAUAUUGUUCUUUCCUGAUGACUUUAGCAUUGGAAUUAGCAAUCCGAAAAAAUAAUCCUC